AAUGAUAACCACUGAACAAUAUUUGGGCUAAAUUUCGGCUACUGCUUCUGAAAUAUCUGUGCACGGCUCUGCAUUUGGCAUUCAUGCAGUCCAGGUUCGAGGGGAACGACAACAUUCCAGAAGUGCUUCUCUCCUUCGAUCCAGAGAAGAUGAAAGAGAAGCACUUUCUGAACGACACUAUUGAUAUAUUUCAUCUAAGGACGAAUGUUGCAAAUCCCUCUGCAAAAAUGCUGGAUGGAGCGUUUAAAGUGCACACUUCCUGGGAAGGGUGUUCUGCUGCAACAAUUCAAGGCAUUACCCAAGUCUCAGUCGCUGACAACAUAUGGCGAGCACCGAUCAGAAUAACAAGUUUUCCUCAUUAUGUUGCAAUAAUAUAUUUUCUCAUUGAAUCUUGGUGUAAAAAGGACAUGCAGGCCACUGACUUUUUAGUUGGUAAAUUCACGAUACAGAUGCGACCAAACGAUCUGUACUGCUGUCCAGUCAAAAAAGAUGAGCAAGACAUAAAACUUCAUGACAAAAGACUUUCUUAUGCAACACUGAAAACAUCAAGAUGUUUCAAUAAGAAAUAUUCUGAGACAGUUUGGUUCUACAUGAAUGGGAACCAUGACAAAGUCUAUCGUUAUAUACAGACUCCUCAAGACGCCAUUGCACUAUGUGCAGUUUUGUUCUCUGAAGUGAUCAGGUAUCCUGACAUGUUUUUUCACAACAUCCUCCUGAUGCAGUACUUGAAAUCAUGGGAGGAGUUUCAUGACAAUCAUCCCAUGCUGACAGGUGGAUCAUGGAAAGGUGGAUCUAGCAAGCCGGGCCAAGUGAUUGCUCCAGAAAAGGUUAAACUGAGAGAGAGAAAAAACCUCUUCAGUUGUGUCAAGAAAAUAAUGAGACAUGAGGAGAUAAGAGGAACUCUAUUCCACAGUCCUCCUGAAAAUGAAGAAGCGGAUAAAUGUUGUUACCUGAACUGAUAACUGAUGUUGGCCUACCUGAAGGACAUCACCUUACCCUUGCUGGAUCCUCUUCAGUUCGCCUAUAGAGAAAACAGGUCUGUGGGUGAUGCAGUCAGCAUGGGACUUCAUGACAUCCUGCAGCAGCUCGACAGAUCUGGGAAUUACGCAAGGAUCCUAUGUAUGUCUGCACUAUCAUGUGUGUCUGCACUAUGUUUGUCAGUUGAAGCUCC
ensembl:lncRNA